rnacentral:rRNA from 1 species
CUAUCAGUCUAGAGUUCGAAGAAGAGGUGAGUGGAAUUUCCCCGGUGUAGCGGUGAAAUGCACUGAUAUCGGGAGGAACACCAGUGGCGAAGGCGCGUCUCUGGCCCGAUCCUGACGCUCCAGGCGCGAAAGCUGGGGGAGCAAACCAGGAUUAGAUACCCCUGGUAGUCCCAGCCGUAAACCGGUGAACACUAGGUGUGGGGGGCAUCGACCCCUUCCCGUGGCCGUAGCUAACCGCAUUAAGUGUUCCCGCCUGGGGAGUACGACCGCAAGGUUGAAACUCAAAGGAAUUGACGGGGGCCCGCACAAGGCGGUGGAGGCAUGUGGUUUAAUUCGAUGCAACGCGCAGAACCUUACCCAGGCUUGACAUGUACUGGACAGGUGUGGAAACACACUCUCUCUUCGGAGUCGGUACACAGGUGCUGCAUGGCUGUCGUCAGCUCGUGUCGUGAGAUGUUGGGUUAAGUCCCGCAACGAGCGCAACCCUUGCCCUUAGUUGCCAUCAUUUUAGGUGGGCACUCUAAGGGGACUGCCGGCGAUGAGCCGGAGGAAGGUGGGGAUGACGUCAAGUCCUCAUGGUCCUUAUGUCUGGGGCUACACACGUGCUA